AGAGUUUGAUCCUGGCUCAGAUUGAACGCUGGCGGCAUGCUUUACACAUGCAAGUCGAACGGCAGCACGGGUGCUUGCACCUGGUGGCGAGUGGCGAACGGGUGAGUAAUGCACCGGAACGUACCCAGUAAUGGGGAAUAACACAUCGAAAGAUGUGCUAAUACCGCAUACGCCCUGAGGGGGAAAGCGGGGGAUCGUAAGACCUCGCGUUAUUGGAGCGGCCGAUGCCGGAUUAGCUAGUUGGUGAGGUAAGAGCUCACCAAGGCGACGAUCCGUAGCUGGUCUGAGAGGACGACCAGCCACACUGGGACUGAGACACGGCCCAGACUCCUACGGGAGGCAGCAGUGGGGAAUUUUGGACAAUGGGCGCAAGCCUGAUCCAGCCAUGCCGCGUGAGUGAAGAAGGCCUUCGGGUUGUAAAGCU
rnacentral:rRNA from 1 species